rnacentral:misc_RNA from 1 species
AUAUUAAAAUCAAAAUUAUCAUUAUAUUACGCUGCCUAUAUUUUUAUUUUACAACUAAAUAUAGGAAUGUAAUGGCAAUUAUAUAUUACAUUACAUAAUUGAUUGCAUUGCAUUAUAUUAAAUAAUUGAUUACAUUGCAUUACAUACGUUCUAUCAAACAUAACCUUAAAGCACAGGAUGAGAAUUAAAAGGAAAUAUGUUAUGGGCCUUAUCUCUUUGUACCAACACUCUGCCAACAUUCUCAUUCUUGUUAAAGACCUCUUAUCCCGUCACAGCUUUAUUAGUUCAAAACUCUCCUUUUCCAUUUCUAAGGUGACUAAGAACUUUCUCUUAAGGAUUUUAUGGAAAAGAGUAUCCCCGAAUUUGGUCUGAGAAGUCCUGAAAAAAUCCAACUUCUUAUUGAUGGCUUGGGAAGCUCUGAACAAGCUGAAUAUUACAUGACCUUGUAUGAUGAUAGGAGUGCCAUUGUUGCUGAACAAAGGCAAAUAUUUCUAGUUUAUAUCUGUAGCUCAUAUAAUAACUCCUUAAAAUGCCCAGACUCUUAAUUUUUCAUGAGCUUGCUGUACAUCAUACUGAUAAUAAGGGAACAUCAUGAUUAAGUGAGACCUGUAAACUGUGUGCUGAAAUUAAUGAAUGGAAAUGUAAUUAAUCUAAAUCAGGUGAGAAACUGCCAAAUGUGUCAUAAUCGAUGGACCAAGUGAUUUUGGUCUUGAUUCUGGCAUUGGAAUAUAUGAAUGAAACCAAAAUUUCAACUAGAGCUAUUAUUAGAGAUGGUGGUAAGCAUGUAAUUUGGUAUCUCUUGAGAAGGAGAAUAACUGGGGGUGAAUGACUGCAACAUGGUGUUGGUAUGUUCUCUAACAGGUCAUUUACCCUUUCUUGUCAUUGGUGUGAUGUGCUGUUGUUGCAGGUGCAUGAUUGGGCAAUUCACUGCAGAAUCAAAUAAUAUUGUUAGGUUUUUUGGAUAAGAGUUUGAGUAGAUGCUACAGAUCCUAGUGUGAAUAUAGGCUUAUCAAAUAUAAAUUAGGAUGUGUUUUUUGAUGCAGAUUUCUCAUCUUACAUAGUUAUGUUUUAUGAGAUAUAAUUUUCAAUUUUUCCAUCAGGCAGCUCUUAUCUCAACCAUA